AUACGGAGGAUCCGAGCGUUAUCCGGAUUUAUUGGGAUUAAAGGGUGCGCAGGCGGCCAUUUAAGUCAGCGGUUAAAUCGUGGGGCUCAACCCCAUUCUGCCGUUGAUACUGGGUGGCUUGAUUGCGGUCGAGGUUGGCGGAAUUAGUUGUGUAGCGGUGAAAUGCAUAGAUAUGACGAAGAACACCGAUUGCGUAGGCAGCUGACCAGACCGCAAAUGACGCUCAUGCACGAAAGUGCGGGGAUCGAACAGGAUUAGAUACCCUGGUAGUCCGCACAGUAAACGAUGAAUACUUGUUUUCGGCGAUAUAAUGUCGGAGGCAAAGCGAAAGCGAUAAGUAUUCCACCUGGGGAGUACGCCGGCAACGGUGAAACUCAAAUGAAUUGGCGGGG
rnacentral:rRNA from 1 species